rnacentral:rRNA from 1 species
AUUGAACGCUGGCGGCAGGCUUAACACAUGCAAGUCGAGCGAUGAAGCUCCUUCGGGAGUGGAUUAGCGGCGGACGGGUGAGUAACACGUGGGUAACCUGCCUCAUAGAGGGGAACAGCCUUCCGAAAGGAAGAUUAAUACCGCAUAAGAUUGUAGUUCCGCAUGGAACAGCAAUUAAAGGAGUAAUCUGCUAUGAGAUGGACCCGCGUCGCAUUAGCUAGUUGGUGAGGUAACGGCUCACCAAGGCGACGAUGCGUAGCCGACCUGAGAGGGUGAUCGGCCACAUUGGGACUGAGACACGGCCCAGACUCCUACGGGAGGCAGCAGUGGGGAAUAUUGCACAAUGGGGGAAACCCUGAUGCAGCAACGCCGCGUGAGUGAUGACGGUCUUCGGAUUGUAAAACUCUGUCUUUGGGGACGAUAAUGACGGUACCCAAGGAGGAAGCCACGGCUAACUACGUGCCAGCCGCCGCGGUAACAC